CUACCCAAGAGUCUGGAAUAACCGGCCGAAAGGCUGGCUAAUACUGGAUAGUUCAAAGGCCCUUAUAACGAGGGCUUUGGGAAAGGGAGCUCGAUAAGAGCCUUCGCUUUUGGAUGAGCCUGCGUCUCAUUAGGUAGUUGGUGGGGUAAUGGCCUACCAAGCCUUUGAUGAGUAGCUGGUCUGAGAGGAUGAUCAGCCACACUGGAACUGAAACACGGUCCAG
rnacentral:rRNA from 1 species